CGACACCAAAUCACAACGGCGCUACCUUGAGCGCGAAAUUCACCGGGUCGCCCCAAGGGAUGGAUCGAUUGACGGGGGUCGAGACUAAUGGUGGAGUGGCAGCCAAGGCAUGGAACGCAUCGCAAAGGACGUCCGCCGAGGAGAUGAGGCUUACGAAGUUAGCACGGGUAUUCAUGAUCGAUCAUUGGAGCCAUUGGCCUGAAAAAGUCUCAUCGGGUAUCACCCAGGGUAGAGAAAUUGCCAACGAUGAUUUUCCCGACACAUUUUAUCUCCAAAUGUAAGUAAUGCUAUGGUGAACGUCUUCCGCAGCGCACGUAGCCGCCCGUACUAACUCGAGGUGGUGAUGUACGUUACGUUGCAUUCAUUUCGCACCGCACACAGCCGACUGUGCCAAUCGGAGGUGAUGGUGAUGUACGUAGAACUUCUUUCGCACCGUACGUAGCCAACCAUGCUAAAUCGAGCGGCGUCAGCCCGGCACGGCUCAGGAGUAACACGCACUGAACAAGUCCCCGAUGCGCGUCGGUGUUACGUAUGUUAACGUUGAAACUUCUUUCACACCGUACGUAGCAAACCCUGCUAAAAAACGGAGGUGCAGAGAUGACGUGGCGAUGUUGUGUCCUCGGGAGUGAGCGAGCGAGCGAGCUAGCGAGCAUCACGCGCGGUGAACUUGUCAUUAACCCCCGGUUCUACUUGGGGGCCCCCCACACCCCUCGAGUCAAGACUCACUGGUCAAUGAGGCCAGCAACGGCAUCACGGUUGGUCGGGGGCUCAGCGCCGCAAAACAGCCAAUGAAAAACCACUAGGCGUACGGCUCGAAUGUUGACGUCGGAAGGGAGGUAAUCAAAACCCUACUCGCCUGGCCAGGCGACAGUCAAGCGUCGUGUGUGCAGUCAGUCUUUUUUUUUUGGUGCGUGCGCUGCACGAUUUACCCCA